UAACUUUCAUUUUGUUGCCGUUAUUUCUACUCACAGGUUCCCCAAACAAGUUCUAUCUCACUAUGAAUUCGAGAUAACCGACACAUGUAUACAGUCUAUUGGUCCUGGAUCUUUAAUUGAUUUGGGCUAGGUUUAGAGUUGAAACCUGGACUAGCUAGUAGGAAUAGGACAUUUUGAUACAGAUAUUUGGUUUGUAUUCCUGGUCAUAACACUGAUCCUGAUGCAUGAGAAUCCUCCAAACUCCAUCAGGAUUUGGAGGAUUCCGUAGGAUUUAGGAAAAUUGAGCCCAGCUACCAUGACUUCCACAUGAUGCUUGAAGUACCAAGAAAAUGGAAGUGCUGAGAACGUGUUAUUUUUGCUGCAUAGAUUUUGUAAGAUGCAGGAAAGUUACUUAUAACUUAGAGGUGUGACAAGAAAUGUUUUGAAUUCCAUCUUGGGAAAACAGGUGGAGAAUUUGACUGCUAAGUGUUUUAAGUUGGGCAAAGAGAAAGUCACUUCCAAAUUAUUACAUCUGGCCUUGUGUAUGAAAUGUUAUUUGUGCCCAGUAACAGUUGGAAUGCUUAUUCAUCACAGUUUGUUUAUAUAAGCAGUGGGCAAGUAUCUAGAGCAUGCAAUAAUAUGCUUUAUUUUGCAGCUUUGGCGUAAUUUUUUCCCUUCAAAUGUAGUCACUUUUUGUUUUUUACCCAAUUUCGCAGGGCAUUCCCGGCGGAGCCAAUCUGAUCCAAGUGGAAUGUCUACCAGAAGACAUUACGGAGGAGCACCUGACGUCCGUCAUGUACGGCUUUGGACCUGUCAUCGACUGCAACAUACUCAGGGAUAAUGAUUCCCAGAAAUGCAUCGGGAUUGCCUUUGUCAGAUUUGAAACCAGUGAAGCUUGUUCAUCAGCUAUUUCUGCUCUGCAUGAAGAAGAUUCACCAUUUCAUAAAUGCAGUGGCAAGGAUGAGGAAAUCCCCAAGCUACUAGUGCACAUGGUGUUGUGAGCCAGUCAAACGAGAGUCCCCUUAGACGGCUGACAAAGUGUGCAAGUAUGGCACCCGAAGUGGGGUGUUUUUUUGGCCUCUGGUAGUUGGUGAAGCAUGGACAGUAGAGGACACUGCACUCUAGCAUUUAUCAGAGCUGUUUAUAGAGAGAAUAGCGCCAACUCCAGACUUUACAACCAAAAUGGCAGUUUAAUGUUUGCAGUACAGCAUGCAGCAAUCGUCUGCUAAUUGUCCAUCUGCGCUGAUGCAUAAUCCACCAUUUUGGUUCCAACAAAUGAGACACUCAUGUCGCAACUCUCUCUAUAAUCAGCCAUGGCAUUUAUCAUACCUCUUCAGCCAUCGGGACUGGUAAUCAGUUACUAUCAGGACCGCAUUGAGUGCUAAAAUGGAAUGAAUUUUUGUACCAAGAAACUGUCGCACUCUGGGGCUGUAAAAUGAUUGCAGUUUGUUUUUAUAGAUGCUAAAUAUUGUUCAUUUUCUGGGAUUUUUGAAUGGAAGGAAACAUGGCUCACUUUGUACAAUAGUGGGAAGUUGAGUUGAAUUCAAAUUGAUGUUUUUUGUCAAAGUGUGUGGGUUCUCUUUGAAGAGCCAUUCUACUGGACGACAUGUUCGCAUUUGAAAAUGUUGUGCUUAUUUAUCAUUCUGUUCACUUCAGUGUAAGCAUUGUACUGUGUUUAUCAAACACAGUACAUCUAUCUUGCGAAUGAUCGACACCUCAGGUUUGGAGUUUUUCUUAAAUGACCAGGCAGUAUGUUUCCCCGAAUGGUUCUCAACAGUGGUUGUGUGUGGCAGUAGCAAGAUUACACAUUUAGAAUGCUUUUCCUGUUUAAAACACACUCAUUCAAGAGACAAAACAGUGCUCAAAUGAUCAGUAUUUUUGAAAUGAAAAUAUAUUUUAAACCAGUUUUAUAUACAUUGAACUGUUACACUAAAACUGUAGUAUGUGCAAUACUUGAGCACAUGCAAGAGGAAAACCUGAAAUUUCUUAAUGAACUUACUCAGUUUUGUGAUGCAUUACAGCAUAAUUUAAGCAAAGGGAAGUUCAUGCAAUACGA
rnacentral:lncRNA from 1 species